rnacentral:rRNA from 1 species
CGUUUGUAAGUAAUGACGUAGGUACUGACCUAGUAACGGCGAGUGAAGCGGCAACAGCUCAAAUUUGAAAUCUGGCUCUCGGGCCCGAGUUGUAAUUUGUAGAGGAUGUUUUUGAUGCGGUGCCUUCCGAGUUCCCUGGAACGGGACGCCAUAGAGGGAGAGAGCCCUGGCUGGCUUUGGUUUAAGUGAAAAGGAUCUCUUGCAUUUGGCCUCCAUGAUGAACCCAACCCAAUACGAUGAAUGAGCGAAUUGCUGAAUUUUCUCCUCCUCUUCCGUGCGGCGCUUCUUGGCGAAAAUGGUAUUCUCUCAUUCUUGCCUGUUCGAACGCCAUUUCAUUCCUCAAGCCAGCGGGCUUGAUGUUACGUGAAAUUGAUGAUUUAGAGGUUGUGAGAUCAAACUUUCUGCUUACCUCCCUGCUAUGACCGUGGCCGGGUGCCCCUCGUGUGAUACGGUUUCACCGUGCUUCCCGACCCUCGCUAGUGGCAUAGGAAUCGUGUUACUCCUAUCUUGAACGAUUAAAGCUUAAGUUAAUUGAUUUCGCCUAGGACAACGACCGCUUUUUUUAUCAAAGGAGCGGGGAAUCUCGAUUUCGAAAGGUUCCUCUUCCAUUCCGUACUGUUGACAACCCACCUAUGUUAAGGGAUGGUUGGUAAAAUAGGAUCCGCACAAUGAGAGUGAACCCAUACGAGCGCCCCGUUCUGAGUGCUCAAAGACCUAUCCAGAUUUCCUCUAAUGGAAUUACUUCCGAGAGUGUCUGUUGUACUCAUGGUAUGGGUUCACUAGCUCU